AUUGAACGCUGGCGGCAGGCCUAACACAGGCAAGCCGGGCGAGCGGAGGACGGGUGAGUAAUGUAUGGGGAUCUGCCUGAAGGAGGGGGAUAACUACUGGAAACGGUAGCUAAUAACGCAUACAAUAGGACGAAACCAUAGGGGAUUAGCUUGUAGGUGAGGUAACGGCUAACCUAGGCGACGAUCCAUAGCUGGUCCGAGAGGUUGAUGAGCCACACUGUGACUGAGACACGGCCCAGACUCCUACGGGAGGCAGCAGUGGGGAAUAUUGCACAAUGGGCGCAAGCCUUAUGCAACCAUGCCGCGUGUAUGAAGAAGGCCUUCGGGUUGUAAAGUACUUUCAGUCUUGAGGCGUUACCGACAGAAGAAGCACCGGCUAACUCCGUGCCAGCCGCCGCGGUAAUAC
rnacentral:rRNA from 1 species